rnacentral:tRNA from 1 species
GAGGGUGUAGCUCAGUGGUAGAGUGUGUGUUUAGCAUGCACGAGGUCCUGGGUUCAAUCUCCAGGACCUCCC